rnacentral:lncRNA from 1 species
UUUUUUUGUAUCGGUACAUAAAACCUUAUCACAAUGACGACAUCUAGCCUUAUGAUUACCUUUGUCAUCAACAAAUUUGUGAAGUGAUUCCACACAAGCAAUGACGUCUUAGAUAGUUCCUUUUGUUUUUGCAAUUUAGAGCUUAUUGCUUCACUUUUUACAUAGCUUUCAAUAGCACUUCUAUCGACAUGAAGUGUAAUUGUUAUGUUAUUAGUUGCCAAAAUUUAUAUCCUCUUCAAUUUCAUUUGACAUC